rnacentral:misc_RNA from 1 species
CUGUUCGAGCGUCAUUAUGACCACUCAAGCCUGGCUUGGUGUUGGGGCUCGCGGUUGCGCGGCCCCCAAAAUCAAUGGCGGUGCCAUCUGGCUCCAAGCGUAGUAAUUCUUCUCGCUAUGGGGACCAGGUAGGAUGCUUGCUAAUAACCCCCAAUCUCACGGUUGACCUCGGAUCAGGUAGGGAUACCCGCUGAACUUAA